UACGUAGGGUGCAAGCGUUAAUCGGAAUUACUGGGCGUAAAGCGUGCGCAGGCGGUUUUGUAAGUCUGACGUGAAAUCCCCGGGCUUAACCUGGGAAUUGCGUUGGAGACUGCAAGGCUAGAGUCUGGCAGAGGGGGGUAGAAUUCCACGUGUGAGCAGUGAAAUGCGUAGAGAUGUGGAGGAACACCGAUGGCGAAGGCAGCCCC
rnacentral:rRNA from 1 species